CAUCAUGGACAUCAGGCCCAGAGCCAUGAAGGACACCACCUGAAACAGACACAUACAGUGUCUCUAUUAUUUGUUUCUAACGGAAAUGGCUGCCUGUUUCAUAGGCCAUAGCAGUAACCUUUGGAACUGCAGAAUAGGAAGACCCAACGCAUAUAAGUCAGACCCUCCCACUCCCCUCAGUCCUGACCCCCAAAUCAGAUCCAAAACAUUUAACCGCCCUCUGAAGUCUUUUCUGAACUUGUGAAAUAUUUGCUCUGCUUUGAAGGGUUCUACGUUCAUAAUGACCAUAGGAUAGGCAUGUUUAGGGACACAGAGAGGCCAUACAGGAGAGGUUUCCUGAGGUGGUCGACCCAAUACAAAGACCGGGGCUGUGUUUACAUCUGGGCUCGGGCCUGAAACAACAGGCCUGACAGAGGGAGGCCAAAGCUGGAACAUCCGACAUCUGGAUAGAGGGAGAUCAACUUCACAGCUCCAUGCUGCAGCUUUACACAUCAUCCUCAUCCUUCACUAUCUCACUAUUUCACACCAAAAUCAACCAUAUGUCCAAUUUU